rnacentral:rRNA from 1 species
CCUACGGGCGGCUGCAGUGGGGAAUAUUUGACAAUGGGCGCAAGCCUGAUCCAGCAAUGCCGCGUGUGUGAAGAAGGCCUGCGGGUUGUAAAGCACUUUAAGCCGGAAAGAAGGCUGCAAGGCUAAUAUCCUUGUAGAUUGACGUUACCGGCAGAAUAAGCACCGGCUAACUCCGUGCCAGCAGCCGCGGUAAUACGGAGGGUGCGAGCGUUAAGUGGAGUGCCUGGGCGUGAAUCGCGCGGACGGGUGUGAAAGCCCUGGGCUUAACCUGGGAACUGCAGUGGAAACUGGCGGGCUAGAGUAUGGUAGAGGAGGGUGGAAUUUCCGGUGUAGCAGUGAAAUGCGUAGAGAUCGGAAGGAACACCAGUGGCGAAGGCGGCUCUCUGGACCAAUACUGACGCUGAGGUGCGAAAGCGUGGGGAGCAAACAGGAUUAGAUACCCGAGUAGUC